AAUAUACUCCCUCUGUCUGAAAAAGUUUGUCCCUCAAAUGGAUGUAUCUAGCACUAACUUGGUACUAGAUACAUCCAUUUGAGGGACAAACUUUUUCGGACGGCGGGAGUACUAU
rnacentral:pre_miRNA from 1 species